rnacentral:rRNA from 1 species
UACGAAGGGGGCUAGCGUUGUUCGGAAUUACUGGGCGUAAAGCGCACGUAGGCGGACAUUUAAGUCAGGGGUGAAAUCCCGGGGCUCAACCCCGGAACGGCCUUUGAUACUGGGUGUCUUGAGUUCGGAAGAGGUGAGUGGAAUUGCGAGUGUAGAGGUGAAAUUCGUAGGUAUUCGCAGGAACACCAGUGGCGAAGGCGGCUCACUGGUCCGAUACUGACGCUGAGGUGCGAAAGCGUGGGGGAGCAAACAGG